rnacentral:tRNA from 1 species
GCAUGUAUUUCAGUGGUAGAGUGCUUGCCUAGAAUGCAAAAGCCCCAGGGUUCAAUCCCCAGUAAUGCA